AUAGAAAAUAGGAGAGAGAAAAUAGGAGGUAGAAAAAAGGUAGAAAUAUCUUAGGUUUUGUUAAGCUACUGUACAGCAAAAAAUGGCUGUGGUUGAUGUUGUUUGAGAAAGUAACUUUUAUUUCUGACCUAGAUUGGAAGCUCUUGUGGAAGUUGCAUUGUUCUGGGCUUUGGUUAUUUUUGUUUGUGUGACCUGAUGGCUCCCUGGGACUUUGGAUCUGGUGAGCUGCCAGCCCCAGAGUUGGAGGUCUCCAGCUCAGAA